rnacentral:rRNA from 1 species
UUCCCACGGGAGGCGGCAGUGAGGAAUAUUGGUCAAUGGGCGCAAGCCUGAACCAGCCAAGUCGCGUGAGGGAAGACGGCCCUACGGGUUGUAAACCUCUUUUGCCGGGGAGCAAGCCUGAGCACGUGUGCCCAGGCGGAGAGUACCCGGAGAAAAAGCAUCGGUUAACUCCGUGCCAGCAGGCGCGGGAAUACGGAGGAUGGGAGCGUUAUUCGGAUUUAUUGGGUUUAAAGGGUGCGCAGGCGGG